AAAUUCAUUAAAAGAGAUGUCCUUAGAUCUCAAUCAAAUAGUAACAAUAUGU
rnacentral:sRNA from 1 species